rnacentral:rRNA from 1 species
UCAAGCAUUAAGAGCGCAGGGUGGAUGCCUUGGCACUGAGAGCCGAUGAAGGACGUGAUAAGCUGCGAAAAGCUUCGGGGAGGAGCAAAUAUCCAUUGAUCCGGAGAUAUCCGAAUGGGGAAACCCACUUGAGCAGACCUCAAGUAUCCAUACGCCAAUCCAUAACGUAUGGAAGGGAACCGGGGGAACUGAAACAUCUAAGUACCCCGAGGAGAAGAAAGAAACCUCGAUUUCCAAAGUAGCGGCGAGCGAAAUGGAAAGAGCCCAAACCGUGGUGCGUGCACCGCGGGGUUGUGGACUGCAUAAGGUACUCGAAUCAAUAGCCGAACAGUUUUGGGAAAUCUGAUCAGAGAGGGUGAAAAUCCCGUAGGCGAAAUUGAUGAGAGGCUGGCAGGAUCCAGAGUACCACGAGACACGGGAAACCUUGUGGGAAGCAGGAGGGACCACCCUCCAAGGCUAAAUACUCCUCAGUGACCGAUAGCGCAUAGUACUGUGAAGGAAAGGUGAAAAGGACCCCGGGAGGGGAGUGAAAGAGAACCUGAAACCCUGUGUUUACAAGCUGUGGAAGUGCCUUAUGUGCACAACCGCGUACUUUUUGUAGAACGGUCCGGCGAGUUACGUUUACUGGCAAGGUUAAGCACUCAAGGUGCGGAGCCGAAGGGAAACCAAGUCUUAAGAGGGCGUGAAGUCAGUAAGAGUAGACCCGAAACCGGGUGAUCUACCCAUGUCCAGGCUGAAGCUGCCGUAAGAGGUAGUGGAGGGCCGAACGCACAUCCGUUGAAAAGGGUGGCGAUGAGGUGUGGGUAGGGGAGAAAUUCCAAUCGAACCCGGAGAUAGCUGGUUCUCCUCGAAAUAGCUUUAGGGCUAGCCUCGAUUUAGUCUUAUGGAGGUAGAGCACUGAAUUUCCGCGGGGGCGUCAAAGCUUACCAAAGAAUAUCAAACUCCGAAUGCCAUGUAGAUGAUGAUCGGGAGUCAGACUGCACGAGAUAAGUUGGGCAGUCAAAAGGGAAAGAGCCCAGACCUGCUGCUAAGGUCCCAAAGUACGUGUUAAGUGGAAAAGGAUGUGGGAUUUCGAAGACAACUAGGAUGUUGGCUCAGAAGCAGCCACACAUUCAAAGAGUGCGUAAUAGCUCACUAGUCGAGAGGUCCUGCGCCGAAAAUGUCCGGGGCUGAAACACGACACCGAAGCACAGGAUACCGCAAGGUAUGGUAGAGGAGCAUUGCUGGCGCGAUGAAGCAGUACCGUAAGGAGCUGUGGAGUGCCAGGAAGAGAGAAUGCCGGAAUGAGUAGCGAGAGAGAGGUGGGAAUCCUCUCGGCCGAAUAUCCAAGGUUUCCAGGGUAAAGCUGAUCUGCCCUGGGUAAGUCGGGGCCUAAGGAGAGGCAGAAAUGCGUAUCCGAUGGACAGCAGGUUGAGAUUCCUGCACUAUCUUAAAACAGAACUGUGGGGACAUUUGUGGAGAGCACAGGCGCGGAACGGAAAGCCGCGUGCAAGCGAAGGAGGAGUCACAUAGGAAAAACCGUGUGGCAAUCCAAAGGCGUGAUGCGGACCGAACUAAAGUAGGGAAGUGUGUGAGCCAUGAAUCAAGAAAAGCCGCUAUUGUUUUUAAGAUACCCGUACCGUAAACCGACACAGGUGGAUGAGGAGAGAAUCCUAAGGCCGGCGGAAGAAGCAUUGUUAAGGAACUCGGCAAAAUGACCCCGUAACUUCGGGAGAAGGGGUGCCUGCGAGAGCAGGCCGCAGAGAAGAGGCCCAAGCAACUGUUUAGCAAAAACACAGGUCUAUGCAAAACCGAAAGGUGAGGUAUAUGGGCUGACGCCUGCCCGGUGCUGGAAGGUUAAGAGGAGAGGUUAGCGCAAGCGAAGCUUUGAAUUUAAGCCCCAGUAAACGGCGGCCGUAACUAUAACGGUCCUAAGGUAGCGAAAUUCCUUGUCGGGUAAGUUCCGACCCGCACGAAAGGCGUAAUGAUUUGAGCGCUGUCUCGACAAUGCAUCCGGUGAAAUUGAAGUACCAGUGAAGAUGCUGGUUACC